rnacentral:misc_RNA from 1 species
GAAAUGCGAUAAGUAAUGUGAAUUGCAGAAUUCAGUGUAUCAUCGAAUCUUUGAACGCACCUUGCGCUCCUUGGUAUUCCGAGGAGCAUGCCUGUUUGAGUGUCAUGGAAUUCUCAACUCUAUUUGCUUUUGUGAAUAGAGCUUGGAUUUGGAGGUUUAUUGCUGGUACUUGUGAUCGGCUCCUCUUGAAUGCAUUAGCUCGAACCUUUGCGGAUCAGCUAUCGGUGUGAUAAUUGUCUACGCCGUUGCAGUGAAGCAUAUCAAUGGGCUCGGCUUCCAAUCGUCCUUUACUGGACAAUGACUUUGACCUUUGACCUCAAAUCAGGUAGGAUUACCCGCUGAACUUAAGC